CCCCGCCACAUUUCAUCCAUCCCCGCCCCCAACAGUUGAAUGCGGAUCCCCCCCAAAUUAUAAUGGACCCCCCCCCAGUUAAAGGACCCCCCCCAGUUCAGUUACCCCCCCCAAUUAAUGGACCCCCCCCAAAUUAAAAUGGACCCCCCCCAAUUAAGGGACCCCCCCCCUCCCACCCGCCCAUAACGCACCAUCUGGGGGGGGGGGUCAAAAGGGACCACCAUCCCCCCCCCCCAUUUAUAUAAGGGUCCGUCCUGCUUUGCACGAGGAAACCCUCGUGCAAGAGCCUGGUGCAAGGGUUGCAUGUAAUAACUCCCCUUGUGCAAGAGAUUGGUGCUAGAGUUUCUCUUGUGCAAGAGGAGAUUGGUGCUAGAGUUGCAUUUAACAGCCAUCCUCGUGCAAGGGAUUGGUGCAAGAGCAGCCCUUGUGCAAGAGAAAUCCUCGUGCAAGAUAAUGGUGCAAGAUCUGCAUGCAAUAACCUCCCUCGUGCAAGGUAAUGGUGAUUUAACAACUGCCCUCGUGCAAGGGAUUGGUGCAAGAGCAGCCCUCGUGCAAGAGACAUCCUCAUGCAAGGAAAAUCCUCGUGCAAGAGACAUCCUCGUGCAAGGAAAUCAUUGUACAAGAGAGAUCCUCGUGCAAGAGAGAUCAUCGUGCAAGAUAAUGGUGCUAGAUGUGCAUGCAAUAACUCCCCUCGUGCAAGAUAAUGGUGCUAGAGUUUCCCUUGUGCAAGAGAUACACUUGUGCAAGAGGAGACUGGUGCUAGGGUUGCAUGCAAUAACUCCCCUCGUGCAAGAGACAUCCUCGUGCAAGAUAAUGGUGCUAGAUCUGCAUGCAAUAACCCCCCUCGUGCAAGAGAUUGGUGCUAGAGUUUCCCUUGUGCAGGAGAUACACUUGUGCAAGAGGAGACUGGUGCAAGAGUUGCAUGUAAUAGCUCCUCUUGUGCAAGGGAUCGGUGCAAGAGCAGCCCUCGUGCAAGGGAAACCCUCGUGCAAGAUAAUGGUGCUAGAUCUGCAUGCAAUAAUCCCCCUUGUGCAAGGAAGUGGUGAUUUAACAGCUGCCCUUGUGCAAGAGAUAUCAUUGUGCAAGGAAAAUCCUCGUGCAAGAGAGAUCCUCGUGCAAGAUAAUGGUGCUAGAGUUGCAUGCAGUGGUUGCCCUCGUGCAAGGGAUUGGUGCUAG
rnacentral:lncRNA from 1 species